GGAAUCCUAAAUAAGUUGUGGUUGCUUUUCUUGCAGGUCGACAUCAAACAAUGAAGUUGAUCGAUGUUGGAGGGCAUUCAUUGUCAAUCUUUUUCAUUCACUGGGCAUCCAAAGUCCUGCUUAAUAUUCUCUAAGGAGGACCCAAGAUUGUGGUUUUGGUUUGGUCCGAGAUGCAAGCGAACUUGACUUGGCUGACACGGCUGGCGUUUAAAUGUAAUGGAGGGGUCCGAGGACCAUAGAGCCUCUAAAAGGUCUUGCUCGAGAUCUAAUUUAAUUGACAGGAAAUUAGCUUCGAUAUGAAAGUGUGUUGCUCAAUCGGGAUGCGGUGCCAUUAGGUUAGAGUUGCUUGAUAAGCCAUGGAUAUGCUGGUGUCUACACUGUCUCUUUGGAUUGUAUUCCUGAAGUUCAUCUAAUGGUCUCAAACGCUUCUAAAAUCAUUGCAGAAAAGAGUUCUUCACAAUUGUAUAUAUAUUUCACAGACAGGAUUCAAGCUCAUAAAAAGGAAGAAGGAUUAGUGAAAGUUUGACAGUCAGAGAUGUGGUGUCUUGUGCUGAAGGCUUACGUGGAACUGAAGACAAAGUGCAAUAACUAAUGCGAAGCCAAGAGUACAUGAAACAAUGGAUGAUAUGUGGCUUGUGCCACUGCCACUUGCUGAAAGAGAUGCCAAGGCAAUGGCUAGGGAGACUAAUCACGUAAGAUAUCAGCUUUUCUUUAUGGGGAGCAAUUGAUUUAUCCCAACAUUUUAUGCAAAUGUUUUUUAAAAAAGAGAGAAUAAAAUAGAAUAAUAAAAUAUUCAAAUAUAUUCUUGAGAAUGGAUUGAAGUUUCCGUUUUCUUUGCCUGAUAAUGUCAUGUUCAACGUCUCAUUUUGUUUUCUGUUGACUAUUUGAGGGGUGGCCUCAAUGGAGAAGAAUCUUGGAAAGUUUGACAAG